AUGAACGCUGGCGGCGUGCCUAAUACAUGCAAGUCGAGCGAACAGAUGAGGAGCUUGCUCCUCUGACGUUAGCGGCGGACGGGUGAGUAACACGUGGAUAACCUACCUAUAAGACUGGGAUAACUUCGGGAAACCGGAGCUAAUACCGGAUAAUAUAUUGAACCGCAUGGUUCAAUAGUGAAAGACGGUUUUGCUGUCACUUAUAGAUGGAUCCGCGCCGCAUUAGCUAGUUGGUAAGGUAACGGCUUACCAAGGCAACGAUGCGUAGCCGACCUGAGAGGGUGAUCGGCCACACUGGAACUGAGACACGGUCCAGACUCCUACGGGAGGCAGCAGUAGGGAAUCUUCCGCAAUGUGCGAAAGCCUGACGGAGCAACGCCGCGUGAGUGAUGAAGGUCUUCGGAUCGUAAAACUCUGUUAUUAGGGAAGAACAAAUGUGUAAGUAACUAUGCACGUCUUGACGGUACCUAAUCAGAAAGCCACGGCUAACUACGUG
rnacentral:rRNA from 1 species